CAACGGAAUGUGCCUUUUGAGAUCAUGUGUUGGAUACACGUGUACUUAAAACAGCCCCGUCGCUGUGUAGAGCUCUUGAAGUACGCCAGAGCUUUAUCAGAGCUAUUGCACUUAAGCCUCGGGACAGCCUUACGAGGAAAACUGCAUUUUGAUAUCUCGUGGGAUAGAAGGCUCCAUCUUUCAGGACGUUGGUCAGGCAACACCUCUCUGACUAUCUGAGGGGGAUUGAAGCCAGGCCCUGCAGCAUGCUAAGCACAUGCUCUACCACUGAGCUACACACUUCUAUUACUAUUUUUUUAAAAAAUGUAGUAUACUGACAAAUGCAGGCUAACUGUCAGCCACAGAAGUGAGAACUGUUGAAGAUCUUACAACAAAAGGAAAUGAAAAGACAUAAUGUACUUCUUCCUGGUUCCACAAACCACUUCACACCAUCCUAAGACUGAAACAGAGAAGACCUCCAAGGAAAACUUGGAAGUUGGGUACUAAAGGAUGAAGUUCAGAAAGAUCUUGGAAACUAGAAUAUCAAAAAAUAUACAUUGGGCUGGGGAUGUGGCUCAAGCGGUAGCACACUCGCCUGGCAUGCGUGCGGCCCGGGUUCGAUCCUCAUCACCACAUACCAACAAAGAUGUUGUGUCCGCUGAGAACUAAAAAAUAAAAAUUAAAAAAAAUUCUCUCUCUCUCUCAAAUAUAUACAUAUAUAUAAUUUCAGUAUAUCAAAACUAGACCCAAAAUAAUGGGUUUGAUGGUUUUCAGAAUAACACUGAAACAGAAUACUUUCCUUGACCCUAACUUUAUACUGAGGUCUUCAGGGAAGUGAAAGAGCUGGUAAGAGGCACAUCAUUUCAAGAGUUUCUGAAGUGCAUGCAUUGUAUGAAAAAGCAUAGACAUUGGGCUGGGGAUGUGGCUCAAGUGGUAGCGUGCUCGCCUGUCAUGCGUGCGGCCCGGGUUCGACCCUCAGCACCACAUACAAACAAAAGAUGUUGUGUCUGCCAAUAACUAACUAAAUAAAUAAAUAUUAAAAAAAAAAAAAGAAAAAGAAAAAGCAUAGACACUUCCUUUGAUUUUCACAUCUUGAAUUUCAAUACAACCUGGAAUUUUGCACAUGCUAAAUGAAUGCAUUAGUGUUUUCAAGCUACAAAAUGGUGGUUAUUCAAAACUUAUUAAAUAUUCUUCAAAGAUUGAACAAAUUAAGACAGCUGAAUACAUAUUCAAAACAUCUGUACAUGCAUAUAUAUAUGUAUGUAUACAUAUGUAUUUUAAAUUAAAGCAAAAGAUUCAAAAGAAUAAUUAAUGUUCUGAGUAAAGCUAAGAAAUAGAGGCUAUUCAUACUUUUUGUUUCAAAUUUACUGCAGUGCUAAUUUCCUGCAUUUUUUCUGGAUGUUUAAUUAUGUUUAAUUUCUCUAGGAGACUAGUGAAGAGACCUAAACUCAAGAUUAAAAGACUAGUUCAUAUUCUACCUAUUUCUUACAACAAAAUGUUCUAAAUGUCAAGUAGAAAGAAUUAUGCAGCUAAAACAAAGUUUGAAAGAGAGAAAAGUAAGCAGCAGCACACUGAGUUUUGAGCACAGACUCGGGGGAUGAGGCAGAUGCAGGUUCAAAUUCUUAAACUAGGAGUGGGGAAAAAACAGCAUGAGGAAGGAUGGAAGCUGGAAAGAAUAAGAUUGAUCAGUAGUAUACCUGUUUGUCAAGAAUAAAGGAUGUAGAUAGGUACAUACUAGAACUGGAGAGUGAAUUUUAAAGCUUAAAGGGCUUUUAGAGAUGAUUUAGUCACAGUCCAUCAUUUUGUAAAGGAAACUGACACCUGGAAAGUUAAAUGUCUCACCUGAGGUCUCGCUUCCAACAUUGACACUUGUGUUACCCAGGUUCCCCCAACUCCCUUUCCUGCCUUCCUCCAUCCCUUCCUCCCUUCCUUCCUUCCAAGAAUCAAACCCAGGGCCUUAUCCAAGUUGUGCAAGGCACUACCACUGAGCUACAUCCCCACCCUCCUAGGUUUCUUUACUCCCCAAACUGGACCCAUUUCACUUUGUGUUACAACAUGCUACAUCUGAGGUUGAGGCAGAACAGAUUAUAGAGAGAAUGAAGAUUAGACUAAAGAGUUUGAAUUUUGUCCUGCCUAUGGCUUUUUUUUUUUU